CGGUUUCUGAGCCACACUGAUCACUACUUGCAGAAGCUGAUAGAUGAAGUUCACCAAAGUGUUUCCAAAGAACUUUAUGGCUCAACCACAGAGUGCAGCUCUGACACAGAUAUGAUCAGUUUUGAGAAACUCAGAGCCCAGAGUAACACACAGGACAGCAGAGUCAC